UACGAAGGGGGCUAGCGUUGCUCGGAAUCACUGGGCGUAAAGCGCACGUAGGCGGCUUUCUAAGUCAGGGGUGAAAUCCUGGAGCUCAACUCCAGAACUGCCUUUGAUACUGGAGAGCUUGAGUCCGGGAGAGGUGAGUGGAACUCCGAGUGUAGAGGUGAAAUGCGUAGAUAUCGGGAGGAACACCAGUGGCGAAGGCGACUACCUGGCCUGUUCUUGACGCUGAGGCGCGAAAGCUAGGGGAGCAAACGGG
rnacentral:rRNA from 1 species